rnacentral:tmRNA from 1 species
GUCCUUCUUUUCUGUGGGGUUCGUCCCUAUAUUAGAGCCGUCCGGCGACGGACUAUGGGGAUAAACGCGCGUGUAAUAAGCGGACUGGACCCGGGUGCGAUUCCCGGCGGCUCCACCAACACCUUCUCCGCGUUAUCGGCGGGUUGUCACGGGGCCGAUCAGCAUCGACAGACGUGUAAAGGCGUUGCUUUCUCUCGGCUUGGCCCACCGUUUCGGGCUUAAAACUAACUGCGAACGAUAACUUCGCUCAAGAGUAUGCCCUCGCCGCGUAAUGCGGUGCGGUCGUAUUCGACCUAAAGCCCUAACGUCUUAGCAGCGUUAGGCGGGGCCCGGGGGCGCCUGGCAACAGAAGCCCCCACC